AGGUACAAUGAUGAGUGGAGACCAUUCACUCCACAGGGGGGUGCGGGUCACCGUGGUCCGAUGUCGGAGCUUAACCUGGUAUGGAACCUUGGCUGGUCACCAAUAAAUCAACUCCAGAACUGAAGUAACUCAAGUCCAUACCUCGAGCUCGGACAUAACACCUAAAGAACCAGGCCAAUGUUGCCGCCAACGAGAUGACAGGUAAGACCACAAGUACAGUGAUGGUUGUAGUGGAAAAAAUGCUUGGCUGAUAUUCGGUUGUGUUUCUGUGCUCCUGCUCAUGAGGAACUGUGGGAGUGGAAAGAAAAGGUGAGACUGAGUUUUUGGGUUGAAGCUAUGUUUACUCCACUAUGUUGGAUAUUUCUAAAGCAGGUAAUUAUGGAAUUGUUUUUUCAUAGAAAAGGGAAAAUUAUAAACAAUAUGAAAUAUACGCUUACCGGUUUUGUUGCUCUUUUCUUGAACGAUCAGGUGCACUUUGUUACUUUCCUCGGGCGGUUCGCUUUGUGGGAAUAAAGUGGCCCUGUAUGUGCCAUUGUGCUCUUCCGUAAGGUUUAUAAUUUGGAAAAAUACGAAAGAAUUUUCAGAGUAAAUGUCGAAUCCGUGUUUUUUUGCGCAACCUUUCCAUGGACAGUACUCUGCCAUUUUUUCGUCGACUAAAUAAACUGCAAAAUG